UGGGGAAUUUUGGACAAUGGGGGAAACCCUGAUCCAGCCAUCCCGCGUGUGCGAUGAAGGCCUUCGGGUUGUAAAGCACUUUUGGCAGGAAAGAAACGUCGCGGGUUAAUACCCCGCGAAACUGACGGUACCUGCAGAAUAAGCACCGGCUAACUACGUGCCAGCAGCCGCGGUAAUACGUAGGGUGCAAGCGUUAAUCGGAAUUACUGGGCGUAAAGCGUGCGCAGGCGGUUCGGAAAGAAAGAUGUGAAAUCCCAGAGCUUAACUUUGGAACUGCAUUUUUAACUACCGGGCUAGAGUGUGUCAGAGGGAGGUGGAAUUCCGCGUGUAGCAGUGAAAUGCGUAGAUAUGCGGAGGAACACCGAUGGCGAAGGCAGCCUCCUGGGAUAACACUGACGCUCAUGCACGAAAGCGUGGGGAGCAAACAGGAUUCAGAUACCCGUGGUAGUCCAACGCCCUAAACGAUGUCAACGUCA
rnacentral:rRNA from 1 species